AUGUCAGCUCACCAUCUGAUACAGAGCAACAUCAGAGAAACAGGCAGCUCUGCCUGGAGGCUGCCACCCCCUUACAGACACCUUGAAAGCAGCAAUGGUGAGAUCCAGGCGAUAUUGGGAGCAACGCAGCAGGGGAUGCUCCCAGCGGAGGCCGAGAGUCAGAGGCAGGAGACGAAAAAGGAGGCAAGGGAGAAUGAGGAGAAGGGCAGGAGGGAGCAAGAAGUACCAUUACAGGAGGUUGAGCACCACUGCCCUGGAGCAGUAGGGACCUGCAGGUGUGGAUUUCCUGCCGGGAGGGUCUGUGUCACACCCCACCAAGGUCACAGGGAGAUCUCUGUCACCUCACAAACCUUUGACAUCACUGGUGGAGCCUCUGAAGUAUUUCUGGGUCUAUUUAAGAUGGGUAUGACGUGACCAUCAAUGAAGAAAGACAGGCUCUCUAAGAGG
rnacentral:lncRNA from 1 species